ACAAUUUAUUGGAAAAGAAAACAUGUUUUAAUUGUGAUAUAUACAGAUAUGUUUUUACAACAACAAGGAAUUAAAAUUAAAAAAUGCUCAUAUAAAAUUAAAAAUCAUUUUUUUUUACAAUAUUUACAAACAUGUUGGUAUUUGAUUUAGCUUUGAUCAUUCACUUAGUGCUAGUCAGCUUUUGCAUAUUGCAUGCAAUAUUACAAACACGUAUCGGACAAAUUUAACAAAUGCUACUUUUACAUUUUAAUACCAAAACAGGGUUUUCAAUCAUAUGUGUCCAUAACUGGAUAUUUGUGUUAAAUAUUAGUCCUUGAAGUUCAGAUGGCUCAGUAGCACAUUCCUUUGAAAUGUAUUGCAUACCAAUAUGGCAUUCAGAUUACUAAAGAAAACCUUUGCGGGCUGGAUUAUAUCUGUAUUAAAUGUUGAUUUCAAACAUUUUAUAGUCUGCUGGAGAAUUUAGAGAAAUAAGUGCUAAAUAUUUUACAAGCAAUGCCUGAAGGUCCCUUUAUCCAGAAUUCCAGUUAUGCCAAUCCGACUUGCCAAAAGGAUAUUACGUUUCCAAAAUUUUCCUAAUAUUCUAUUUUUUUUUUUCCAGAAAAGGGAAGAUAAUAUUCUAACAUUUAAACCAAAUUAAAAAAAUACAGAAAGCAAUACAGGGUCAUCUUGGCAAAUUAUCAUUUUGGAUUACAAAUGGAAAGAUUAUAUAUGCAGGAAAAAGUGCAUUUAAUACAACACAAAUGUUUGAGAAAUAUAAAAAAGUUAAUAUUCAUCAAUUGUUCCAACCCAUUGAUCGCAACACAAAAAUCUGUAUUUAUAAACCAAACAAAAGUAUGCAUAUUCAAUUUUAAAAAAGGUUUUAUUUAUAAAUCAUCUCUAUGGAGGAUAUUUGAGCAAAGUGGGAUAAUCAUGGUGGAACUAAAUGUGUGGCACUUAAAACUCACAAGUUGUUGUUUUGUUUUUGUUUGUUUUUUAAAUUUGAGGUCAAGGUAACCUAACUGCAAAAAUUCUACAAGUUGACUAUAAUUUCAGUUCAGCUACUUUGGCCUUAAAUGUGAAAUUCACUUUGAAUUAUUUAUAAAUUCUCAGUUUAAUGACUAACCAUGCCAUAUUGUCUAAACAUUCCCCUUUUGCCUGUAUACAAAUCAUCUCCAAAUAGGACCUAUGUUUGGUGGCUCAGGACUCAGAAAAACACUGAUAUAUGAGGGAAAAAAGUAUUUGAUCCCCUGCUGAUUUUGAACGUUUGCCCACUGACAAAGAAAUGAUCAGUCUAUAAUUUUAAUGUUAGGUGUAUUUUAACAGUGAGAGAUAGAAUAAUAAAAAAAAAAAUCCAGAAAAAUGCAUGUCAAAAAAAAGUUAUAAAUUGAUUUGCAUGUCAAUGAGCAAAGUAAGUAUUUGAUCCCCUAUCAAUCAGCAAGAUUUCUGGCUCCCAAGUGUCUUUUAUACAGGUAACGAGCUGAGUUUAGGAGCACUCUCUUAAAGGGAGUGCUCCUAAUCUCCGCUCGUUACCUGUAUAAAAGACACCUGUCCUCAGAAGCAGUUAAUCAGAUUUCAAACUCUCCACCAUGGCUAAGACCAAAGAGCUGUCCAAGGAUGUCAGGGACGAGAUUAUAGACCUACACAAAGCUGGAAUGGGCUACAAGACCAUCGCCAAGCAGUUUGGUGAGAAGGUGACAACAGUUGGUGCGAUUAUUCUCAAAUGGAAGAAACAGAAAAUAACUGUCAGUCUCCCUCGGUCUGGUGCUUCAUGCAAGAUCUCACCUCUUGGAGUUUCAAUGAUCAGAAGAACAGUGAAGAAUCAGCCCAGAACUACACGGGAUGAUCUUGUUAAUGAUCUCAAGGCAGCUGGGACCAUAGUCACCAAGAAAACAAUUGGUAGCACACUACGCUGUGAAUGACUGAAAUCCUGCAGUGCCUGCAAGAUCCCCCUGCUCAAGAAAGCACAUGUACUGGCCUGUCUGAAGAUUGCCAAUGAACAUCUGAAUGAUUCAGAGGAGAACUGAGUGAAAGUGUUGUGGUCAGAUGAGACCAAAAUCCAGCUCUUUGGCAUCAACUCAACUCGCCGUGUUUGGAGGACGAGGAAUGCUGCCUAUGACACAGGAACACUUUCCCCACCGUCAAACAUGGAGGUAGAAACAUUAUGCUUUGGGGGUGUUUUUAUGCUAAAGGGACAGGACAACUGCGCCACAUCAAAGGGAGGAUGGACGGGGCCAUGCACUGUCAAAUCGUGGGUGAGAAACUCCUUCCCUCAGCCAGGGCAUUGAAAAUGGGUUAUGGAUGGGUAUUCCAGCAUGACAAUGACCCAAAACACACAGCCAAGGCAACUAAGGAGUGGUUCAAGAAGAAGCACAUUAAGGUCCUUGAAUGGCCUAGCCAGUCUCCAGACCUUAAUCCCAUUUCAAAUUUGUGGAGGGAGCUGAAGGUUCGAGUUGCCAAACGUCAGCCUCGAAACCUUAAUGACUUGGAGAGGAUCUGCAAAGAGGAGUGGGACAAAAUCUCUCCUGAGAUGUGUGCAAACCUGGUGGCCAACUACAAGAAAUGUCUGACCUCUGUGAUUGCCAACAAGGGUUUUGCCACCAAGUACUAAGUCGAAGGGGUCAAAUACUUAUUUCACUUAUUGACAUGCAAAUCAAUUUACAAUUUUUUUGACAUGCGUUUUUCUGGAUUUUUU